rnacentral:rRNA from 1 species
CCUACGGGAGGCAGCAGUGGGGAAUAUUGCACAAUGGGCGCAAGCCUGAUGCAGCGACGCCGCGUGAGGGAUGACGGCCUUCGGGUUGUAAACCUCUUUCAGUAGGGAAGAAGCGAAAGUGACGGUACCUGCAGAAGAAGCGCCGGCUAACUACGUGCCAGCAGCCGCGGUAAUACGUAGGGCGCAAGCGUUAUCCGGAAUUAUUGGGCGUAAAGAGCUCGUAGGCGGUUUGUCGCGUCUGCCGUGAAAGUCCGGGGCUCAACUCCGGAUCUGCGGUGGGUACGGGCAGACUAGAGUGAUGUAGGGGAGACUGGAAUUCCUGGUGUAGCGGUGAAAUGCGCAGAUAUCAGGAGGAACACCGAUGGCGAAGGCAGGUCUCUGGGCAUUAACUGACGCUGAGGAGCGAAAGCAUGGGGAGCGAACAGGAUUAGAUACCCUGGUAGUCCAUGCCGUAAACGUUGGGCACUAGGUGUGGGGGUACAUUCCACGUUUUCCGCGCCGUAGCUAACGCAUUAAGUGCCCCGCCUGGGGAUACGGCGCAGGCAAACGUCAAGGAUUGACGGCGNGNGACGNGCGAGCGACGACGAGGAGAG